GAUGAACGCUGGCGGCGUGCUUAACACAUGCAAGUCGAACGGAAAGGCCCAGCCUUUCUUGGGUCCUCGAGUGGCGAACGGGUGAGUAACACGUGGGUAACCUGCCCUUCACUUCGGGAUAAGCUCGGGAAACUGGGGCUAAUACUGGAUAGGACCUCUUCUUGGAUGGUGGGGGGGGAAGUGUUUUGGGGGUGGGAUUAGGUCGCGGCCUAUCUGCUUGUUUGUGGGGAAUGGCCUACCACGACGUCGUUGGGGAGACGGCCUGAGAGGGUGUACGGCCACAUUGUGGGUGUGAGACGGGCCAGACUCCCCCGCGGGGCAGCAAUGGGGAAUAUUUCACACUGGGGGCAAGCGUCAGGCAGAGACGCGGCGUGGGGGAUGAGGGGCUUCUGGUUGUAUACACCGCUCGCUCGGGACGAGGCGUGUUUGUGACGGUACCGGGAGAAGAAGCACCGGCUAACUACGUG
rnacentral:rRNA from 1 species